GCGUUAAUCGGAUUUACUGGGCGUAAAGCGUGCGUAGGUGGUUACGAAAGUCGGGUGUGAAAGCCCUGGGCUCAACCUGGGAAUGCCAUUCGAUACUUCGUGACUAGAGUUCGGUAGAGGGCGGCGGAACUCCAGGUGUAGCGGUGAAAUGCGUAGAUAUCUGGAAGAACACCGAUGGCGAAGGCAACCGCCUGGGCCUGAACUGACACUGAGGCACGAAAGCGUGGGGAGCAAACAGGAUUAGAUACCCUGGUAGUCCACGCCGUAAACGAUGAGAACUUGACGUCGGUUUGCCUAGCGAAUCGGUGUCGAAGCUAACGCGCUAAGUUCUCCGCCUGGGGAGUACGGCCGCAAGGUUGAAACUCAAAGGA
rnacentral:rRNA from 1 species